AGCGAACGCUGGCGGCAGGCUUAACACAUGCAAGUCGAACGCCCCGCAAGGGGAGUGGCAGACGGGUGAGUAACACGUGGGAACGUACCCUUUGGUUCGGAAUAACUUGGGGAAACUCAAGCUAAUACCGGAUAAGCCCUUAUGGGGAAAGGUUUACUGCCGAAGGAUCGGCCCGCGUCUGAUUAGCUAGUUGGUGAGGUAAUGGCUCACCAAGGCGACGAUCAGUAGCUGGCCUGAGAGGAUGAUCAGCCACACUGGGACUGAGACACGGCCUAGACUCCUACGGGAGGCAGCAGUGGGGAAUAUUGGACAAUGGGGGCAACCCUGAUCCAGCCAUGCCGCGUGAGUGAUGAAGGCCUUAGGGUUGUAAAGCUCUUUUACCCGGGACGAUAAUGACUGUACCGGGAGAAUAAGCCCCGGCUAACUUCGUGCCAGCCGCCGCAGUAA
rnacentral:rRNA from 1 species